AGAGUUUGAUCAUGGCUCAGAUUGAACGCUGGCGGCAGGCCUAACACAUGCAAGUCGAGCGGUAGCACAGAGAGCUUGCUCUCGGGUGACGAGCGGCGGACGGGUGAGUAAUGUCUGGGAAACUGCCUGAUGGAGGGGGAUAACUACUGGAAACGGUAGCUAAUACCGCAUAAUGUCGCAAGACCAAAGUGGGGGACCUUCGGGCCUCAUGCCAUCAGAUGUGCCCAGAUGGGAUUAGCUAGUAGGUGGGGUAACGGCUCACCUAGGCGACGAUCCCUAGCUGGUCUGAGAGGAUGACCAGCCACACUGGAACUGAGACACGGUCCAGACUCCUACGGGAGGCAGCAGUGGGGAAUAUUGCACAAUGGGCGCAAGCCUGAUGCAGCCAUGCCGCGUGUGUGAAGAAGGCCUUCGGGUUGUAAAGCACUUUCAGCGGGGAGGAAGGCGUUAAGGUUAAUAACCUUGGCGAUUGACGUUACCCGCAGAAGAAGCACCGGCUAACUCCGUGCCAGCAGCCGCGGUAAUACGGAGGGUGCAAGCGUUAAUCGGAAUUACUGGGCGUAAAGCGCACGCAGGCGGUCUGUCAAGUCGGAUGUGAAAUCCCCGGGCUUAACCUGGGAACUGCAUUCGAAACUGGCAGGCUAGAGUCUUGUAGAGGGGGGUAGAAUUCCAGGUGUAGCGGUGAAAUGCGUAGAGAUCUGGAGGAAUACCGGUGGCGAAGGCGGCCCCCUGGACAAAGACUGACGCUCAGGUGCGAAAGCGUGGGGAGCAAACAGGAUUAGAUACCCUGGUAGUCCACGCCGUAAACGAUGUCGAUUUGGAGGUUGUGCCCUUGAGGCGUGGCUUCCGGAGCUAACGCGUUAAAUCGACCGCCUGGGGAGUACGGCCGCAAGGUUAAAACUCAAAUGAAUUGACGGGGGCCCGCACAAGCGGUGGAGCAUGUGGUUUAAUUCGAUGCAACGCGAAGAACCUUACCUGGUCUUGACAUCCACAGAACUUNCGAUUGACGUUACCCGCAGAAGAAGCACCGGCUAACUCCGUGCCAGCAGCCGCGGUAAUACGGAGGGUGCAAGCGUUAAUCGGAAUUACUGGGCGUAAAGCGCACGCAGGCGGUCUGUCAAGUCGGAUGUGAAAUCCCCGGGCUCAACCUGGGAACUGCAUUCGAAACUGGCAGGCUAGAGUCUUGUAGAGGGGGGUAGAAUUCCAGGUGUAGCGGUGAAAUGCGUAGAGAUCUGGAGGAAUACCGGUGGCGAAGGCGGCCCCCUGGACAAAGACUGACGCUCAGGUGCGAAAGCGUGGGGAGCAAACAGGAUUAGAUACCCUGGUAGUCCACGCCGUAAACGAUGUCGAUUUGGAGGUUGUGCCCUUGAGGCGUGGCUUCCGGAGCUAACGCGUUAAAUCGACCGCCUGGGGAGUACGGCCGCAAGGUUAAAACUCAAAUGAAUUGACGGGGGCCCGCACAAGCGGUGGAGCAUGUGGUUUAAUUCGAUGCAACGCGAAGAACCUUACCUGGUCUUGACAUCCACAGAACUUNNNNNUUGGUGCCUUCGGGAACUGUGAGACAGGUGCUGCAUGGCUGUCGUCAGCUCGUGUUGUGAAAUGUUGGGUUAAGUCCCGCAACGAGCGCAACCCUUAUCCUUUGUUGCCAGCGGUUAGGCCGGGAACUCAAAGGAGACUGCCAGUGAUAAACUGGAGGAAGGUGGGGAUGACGUCAAGUCAUCAUGGCCCUUACGACCAGGGCUACACACGUGCUACAAUGGCAUAUACAAAGAGAAGCGACCUCGCGAGAGCAAGCGGACCUCAUAAAGUAUGUCGUAGUCCGGAUUGGAGUCUGCAACUCGACUCCAUGAAGUCGGAAUCGCUAGUAAUCGUAGAUCAGAAUGCUACGGUGAAUACGUUCCCGGGCCUUGUACACACCGCCCGUCACACCAUGGGAGUGGGUUGCAAAAGAAGUAGGUAGCUUAACCUUCGGGAGGGCGCUUACCACUUUGUGAUUCAUGACUGGGGUGAAGUCGUAACAAGGUAACCGUAGGGGAACCUGCGGUUGGAUCACCU
rnacentral:rRNA from 1 species